ACGCUGGCGGCGUGCCUAAUACAUGCAAGUAGAACGCUGAAGGAGGAGCUUGCUUCUCUGGAUGAGUUGCGAACGGGUGAGUAACGCGUAGGUAACCUGCCUGGUAGCGGGGGAUAACUAUUGGAAACGAUAGCUAAUACCGCAUAAUAGUAGAUGUUGCAUGACAUUUACUUAAAAGGUGCAAUUGCAUCACUACCAGAUGGACCUGCGUUGUAUUAGCUAGUUGGUGGGGUAACGGCUCACCAAGGCGACGAUACAUAGCCGACCUGAGAGGGUGAUCGGCCACACUGGGACUGAGACACGGCCCAGACUCCUACGGGAGGCAGCAGUAGGGAAUCUUCGGCAAUGGACGGAAGUCUGACCGAGCAACGCCGCGUGAGUGAAGAAGGUUUUCGGAUCGUAAAGCUCUGUUGUAAGAGAAGAACGAGUGUGAGAGUGGAAAGUUCACACUGUGACGGUAUCUUACCAGAAAGGGACGGCUAACUACGUGCCAGCAGCCGCGGUAAUACGUAGGUCCCGAGCGUUGUCCGGAUUUAUUGGGCGUAAAGCGAGCGCAGGCGGUUAGAUAAGUCUGAAGUUAAAGGCUGUGGCUUAACCAUAGUUCGCUUUGGAAACUGUCAAACUUGAGUGCAGAAGGGGAGAGUGGAAUUCCAUGUGUAGCGGUGAAAUGCGUAGAUAUAUGGAGGAACACCGGUGGCGAAAGCGGCUCUCUGGUCUGUAACUGACGCUGAGGCUCGAAAGCGUGGGGAGCGAACAGGAUUAGAUACCCUGGUAGUCCACGCUGUAAACGAUGAGUGCUAGGUGUUAGACCCUUUCCGGGGUUUAGUGCCGCAGCUAACGCAUUAAGCACUCCGCCUGGGGAGUACGACCGCAAGGUUGAAACUCAAAGGAAUUGACGGGGGCCCGCACAAGCGGUGG
rnacentral:rRNA from 1 species